rnacentral:lncRNA from 1 species
UUUUUUCCCAGAUUCUGUUCACUUAAACGCAUGAAAGGAUAAAGGAAUCAAGAUAAGGAAGAAUGUCAGCAGAAAAUGAUCUCUUUCUGCAUUUACUUGUGCUUGCUGACUGCCAGUAACGAUCUCUAUUGUACCUUUCUUUUGUCUACCUUGUUAUGCCUAACAUUCCAAUGCAACAGAAAUGGGAUGAAGGAUAGCCUAGCUUGAUGCCUUUUCAAAACUGCGAAGUCCUGAAAGUCGUUCCAUUUAGACAGAUAAGUGUAGACAAUACCCAGCUUUCAGGGAAAUUGAUUCACAUGGCUCCUAAUGCAAAAAUGUACAUUGAGCAACAAAGAAAAGAAUGUGGUAUUUCACAUUUGAAGCUUUCAUGUGGCUUUGGGACUCUGUGUAAGGUUCUGAAUUUAUUAUCAAAUAUAUCCCUUCAAAAUCAACUCAAAGAGCUGCUGAAGGAUAAUUUAGGGAGGGGAGGAAAAAAAAGUGAAAACACAGUUGUUUAGAGUUAAAAUAAUACUUCAUUUUCAAAUAAAAUACUUUCU